CAGAGAAUAGUUUAUGUAAAAUAAUAAUUUUGGGGAUUAUUGAAAAGGGAAAAUCUUUUCUCUGA
rnacentral:tRNA from 1 species